rnacentral:rRNA from 1 species
AACGAACGCUGGCGGCAUGCCUAACACAUGCAAGUCGAACGAGACCUUCGGGUCUAGUGGCGCACGGGUGCGUAACGCGUGGGAACCUGCCCUUAGGUUCGGAAUAACUCCCCGAAAGGGGUGCUAAUACCGGAUAAUGUCUUCGGACCAAAGAUUUAUCGCCUUUGGAUGGGCCCGCGUUGGAUUAGCUAGUUGGUAGGGUAAAAGCCUACCAAGGCGACGAUCCAUAGCUGGUCUGAGAGGAUGAUCAGCCACACUGGGACUGAGACACGGCCCAGACUCCUACGGGAGGCAGCAGUGGGGAAUAUUGGACGAUGGGCGAAAGCCUGAUCCAGCAAUGCCGCGUGAGUGAUGAAGGCCUUAGGGUUGUAAAGCUCUUUUACCCGGGAUGAUAAUGAUAGUACCGGGAGAAUAAGCUCCGGCUAACUCCG